GAAAAGAAAACAAAGGUCAGAACCUUGGAGAACAUCUUCUUUAGAACUUUACUACUUAGAAGCGUGGCCAAUGACCCAGCAGCCUUGCCAGGGGGUUAGAAUGGUAGAAUUUCAGGCCCCUCAACCCUGAAACAUGCUAAAUCAGCACCCUCAAUUUAACAAGAACUCUAAGUGAUUUGUAUUACAUCAUAGUUUGAGAAACUCUGACCUAGAUAAGAGAAGCCAACAAAUAAAGAAGGGAUCUAAUCUAGAUGAGGGAAGCCAGGAAAGAAAGAGGCAAGAGGAAGUAAGAGGAGAACCAGGGUAAUGCAAAAUCACCAAAGCAAGGUGGAUUAUCAAGAUGACUACAAGGCCCUGGUGUUGAUAGAGCCACAAAAAAGAAGGCGUCCGGAUGGAGAGUUGCCCGCUGAUCUGGAACCCCCACCGUCAAUUAUUAUAGCUAUUUGAAUCCUGGAACUUUGUGGGGAAUGAGAGGCACUUCAAAGGAAAAGGAGGUUAAAUUUCCAAUCUAUCUAAAGAAUAGUUAAUGUGACUUCCAGAACUCCUGUUUUGGAAUUCAGGGGAAAGGUACCGUGUCAGCAAAAAUGGAGGGAGAGAUUGGCUCUGCCUGGGAAAUGGAAGAAAUGUCAGUGCUGGCCUCACAGAGCCCUGGAUGCUCUCCUGGGGUUUAGAGAAGAUGCUACUACCCACCACUAAUGCUUAGCAGGAAUAAGGAAGGAGGCCAGGAACCAAAGUGGGUUGGUCCACAUUACCAUCUCUUACUAGUCCCUGAUGGGUCUAAGAAUAGAUUAUAUUCCAAUGUUAAAAAUCUUGAAAUCAAUUAUGUCCCAAGGCUUUAGUUCAGCUUAACAUUUCAACAGAAAAGAGCCUGGAAGCUACUGCCAGGUCUACUUUGACAAUUGGGUCACCAUCGUAAUCUUCACCAGAUUUCAUGAAUGAUGAGCCUCCCUGAUACUUAUCAGCCAAACAGAACAAAACUGAUUUCUCUUGGCCUUCGGAUUCUUCAUCAUCACUGUUGUCAGAAAAUUGGCAGUGGAGGACUUCAUCUUGUUCUUCUAAGUGACCCA